AGUCAUGAAGUCCUUGCCUAGGCCUAUGUCCUGAAUGGUUUUGCCUAGCUUUUCCUUUAGGGUUUUUAUGGUUUUAGGUCUUAUGUUUAAGUCUUUAAUCCAUCUUGACUUAAUUUUUGUAUCAGGAGUAAGGAAGGGGUCCAGUUUCAGUUUUCUGCAUAUAGCUGGCCGGUUUUCCCAACAUCAUUUAUUAAAUAGGGAAUCCUUUCCCUAUUGUUUGUUUUUGUCAGGUUUGUCAAAAUCAGAUGGUUAUAGAUGUUUGGCAUUAUUUCUGACGCCUCUGUUGUGUUCUAUUGGUCUAUAUAUCUGUUUUGGUACCAGCACCAUGCUGUUUUUGUUACUAUAGACUUGCAGUAUAGUUUGAAGUCAGGUAGUGUGAUGCCUCCAGCUUUGUUCUUUCUACUUAGGAUUGUUUUGACUAUAUGGGUUCUUUUUGGUUCUGUAUGAAAUUUAAAGUACUUUU